rnacentral:rRNA from 1 species
UUGAAAGGGAAACGAUUGAAGUCAGUCGUACCGGUGGGUAAUCAGCCUUUCGGCGUGAUUAUGUGGAGCGUGAGGAGUUAAACGCCCUCAUGGCCUGAAUAUUCGUGUUCUUUGGGUGUACUUACCCGCAUGGUAGGUUAACAUCAAUUUCGAACGUCAUAAAAUGGUUGGAGGAAUGUAGCUUCGAUCUCGUAUUGAAGUGUUAUAGACUCCGGCAGAUGUGAUGAUCGGGAUUGAGGAUUGCAACGGAUACCCUUCGGGGCUACCCGUCUGAUCUCUGAAAGUUGCUCUGGUGCCGAAAGCUCGCUUACGGUCAUCAAAGUUGACGUUCAACAGGUUAGAACGGGAUAAAUUCGUUAAGGAUGUCGACGUA